rnacentral:rRNA from 1 species
AACCAGACUCCUACGGGAGGCAGCAGUGGGGAGUAUUGCACAAUGGGGGAAACCCUGAUGCAGCGACGCCGCGUGAGUGAAGGAGCGUUUCGGCGCGUAAAGCUCUAUCAGCAGGGAAGACAAACUGCCCCGGAAGGGGCAGCCGGACGGUACCUGACCAAGAAGCCCCGGCUAACUACGUGCCAGCAGCCGCGGUAAUACGUAGGGGGCAAGCGUUAUCCGGAUUUACUGGGUGUAAAGGGAGCGUAGACGGCAGUGCAAGUCUGGAGUGAAAGGCGGGGGCUCAACCCCCGGACUGCUCUGGAAACUGUACGGCUGGAGUGCAGGAGAGGUAAGUGGAAUUCCCAGUGUAGCGGUGAAAUGCGUAGAUAUUAGGAGGAACACCAGUGGCGAAGGCGGCCUACUGGACGGUGACUGACGCUGAGGCUCGAAAGCGUGGGGAGCAAACAGGAUUAGAUACCCUAGUA